CGCAAGCCUGAUGCAGGCGACGCCGCGUGAGGGAUGAAGGCUUUCGGGUUGUAAACCUCUUUCAGCGGGGACGAAGCCUUACGGUGACGGUACCCGCAGAAGAAGGUCCGGCCAACUACGUGCCAGCAGCCGCGGUAAUACGUAGGGACCGAGCGUUGUCCGGAUUUAUUGGGCGUAAAGCGCGCGUAGGCGGCCGAUCGCGUCGGAUGUGAAAGCUCGGAGCUCAACUCUGAGAGGUCAUUCGAUACGGGUCGGCUAGAGGCAGGUAGGGGAGAUCGGAAUUCCUGGUGUAGCGGUGAAAUGCGCAGAUAUCAGGAGGAACACCGGUGGCGAAGGCGGAUCUCUGGGCCUGUUCUGACGCUGAGGCGCGAAAGCUGGGGGAGCAAACAGGAUUAGAUACCCUGGUAGUCCCAGCCGUAAACGUUGGGUGCUAGGUGUGGGGAGGUCUUCAACCCUUUCCGUGCCGACGCUAACGCAUUAAGCACCCCGCCUGGGGAGUACGGCCGCAAGGCUA
rnacentral:rRNA from 1 species